CACAAAUUAAUACAUGAAGACAGUGUAUUUUGUAUUCUGUGACUGCUUACUGCUGUUACAAUGAAUUUAUUCCCAUUACCCAGGACUUCUACAUUUUCAAAAAUGGUGGAAUUUACCUGCAUGUGAAAGUAAUUGUUUUGCUUCCACAACAUCAUAAUUAUCCAAACUCACGAGAAACUAUAACAUUGUCUAAAUCGCAACAGCCUGGAAACAUUUACAACAUUUACACUUUCUGAUUCGCAAAGCAACCUAUAGUUACAUGCAAGUGCAAAAGGUUAAAUUGAGGCAGGCUAGUGUGUGGUUAGGGUUAGGGUAAGGUUAAAUUAAGGCAGGCUAGUGUGUGGUUAGGGUUAGGGUAAGGUUAAAUUAAGGCAGGCUAGUGCGUGGUUAGGGUAAGGUUAAAUUGAGGCAGGCUAGUGUGUGGUUAGGGUUAGGGUAAGGUUAAAUUGAGGCAGGCUAGUGUGUGGUUAGGGUUAGGGUAAGGUUACAUUGAGGCAGGCUAGUGUGUGGUUAGAGUUAGGGUAAGGUUACAUUGAGGCAGGCUAGUGUGUGGUUAGGGUUAGGGUAAGGUUACAUUGAGGCAGGCUAGUGUGUGGUUAGGGUUAGGGUAAGGUUAAAUUGAGGCAGGCUAGUGUGUGGUUAGGGUUAGGGUAAGGUUAAAUUGAGGCAGGCUAGUGUGUGGUUAGGGUUAGGGUAAGGUUAAAUUGAGGCAGGCUAGUGUGUGGUUAGGGUUAGGCUAAGGUUAAAUUGAGGCAGGAUAGUGUGUGGUUAGGGUUAGGGUAAUGUUCAAUUGAGGCAGGCUAGUGUGUGGUUAGGGUUAGGGUAAGGUUCAAUUGAGGCAGGCUAGUUGUGUGGUUAUGGUAAGGUUAAAUUGAGGCAGGCUAGUGCGUGGUUAGGGUUAGGGUAAGGUUAAAUUGAGGCAGGCUAGUGUGUGGUUAGGGUUAGGGUAAGGUUACAUUGAGGCAGGCUAGUGUGUGGUUAGGGUUAGGGUAAGGUUACAUUGAGGCAGGC